UUAUCACCAUUAUCAACAGUUAAACCACAUUAUUAACAAAAAAAGAAUAUGAAAGGGAUUAGGGUUAAAGAAUUGUGACCAUUGAAAUUAUCUGAACUUCAUCUUCUCUCUUUCUCAAAACGUGAACGGCACCGCAAAUCUCCGACGGGAAUUCUUUUCUCGCGCCACCAUGAACAAGGCAAUACACCGACCGUCCUUCUACAUUUCAACCUCUCUCCGUUCGUUCUCAAUCUCGCUCUCUCAUGAUCUCGUAAAGAAAUUAGCGGAAAAGCGGUAUUUUCUGGUGAUGAAUCAGACUUGAAAAUCGCUCAGAUGAUGACGCGUUAAGGUAGAUGAUGAAGGUUGUUAUAGUGCGGCGAUGCUGUUGAAUUGAAGGAGAGUUGAAGGUUGAAGGAGGUGAUGAGUAGGUUCACCGCGUGAAGAAUGUUGCAGAAUGAUUGUUGAGGAUAGGGAUGAAGAAUGUGAAGUGUGGCAGAGGGAGAAUGAAUCGAGAGAUGGUGAAGAUGGAAGUGAUGAUGAAUGAGUCGGGAGUGAAGAGAAGAUGGUGAUGGAGUGCAGAGAGAUGGAUGAUUGAAGAUGAGAAGAAAAUGGAGGGAGAGUUGAAGAAUGUGGAGGUGAUUCUGAUUAUAUAGUUGAGUUUUCUUCUGGUUUCUAUUGAAUCUCUGAUAUCCUCUGUUUCUCAUCCCCUCCUCUUUUCUGUUUUCAAUUCUUUUUUCAGUUAGUUACAAAUUGGCUACCUGUUAGUUAUAGGUUUGGUUAUGAUUCUGUUAGCUCUGUUAGAAGGUAGUUAGGGAAUCUGUUAGAGGUGGUUAGUAACUGAAUCGGUUAUGAACUAUACUAGGUUGUUAGGAGUUGGUAGAAGUUAGUUAGGAUCUGUUAUAGGUUAUAACUGAAUCGGUUAGGUGGUUGGAAAAAGUUUGUUAGGUUUGUUAGGAAAUCAGAAUUCUGUUGAAGGUUAUAACUGAAUCGGUUAGGUGGUUGAAUGGUUAGAAGUUUAGUUAUAGGGCUAUGGCUAAUAAUUGGUUAAUGAAAACAGUUAGUUAUAUGGUUUGAAAUUGGUUAGGAAUACAACUGUUAGUUUCUAAAAGUUAGUAAUGAGGUGGUAUGAAAACUGUUAGUUUGGGGUGAUUUAUGCAGGGGCUGAUAUGUGGAUGUAGGAUAAGGUUGGUUAAUUGUGUGGAGUGGGUUUUAUAACUGUUGAAUGUGAGCAGGGUUUGACUAUUUGGAUUGGUGUGUAUGGCUUUGCUGCAGGGACUGUUUUUUUUAUGGGUGAAUGGUUAUGGACUAUUUCUCAUUUCUGUUUUUCUUGCUGGAAGUUUUUGUUUUUUGGAUGUAUGAUUUUGAUGGGCUGAUUGCUUCCAUAGUAUACCAUAGUUCACACCAAUAUCGCUACUGGCUUUUGCAUAUGGAGAGUUAGGAGAAUUUGCAUAUAGUUUAAUGAAAUAAAAAAGAUACCGUAGCAGAAAGAAAGUCCAUCUUCAAACUUGAUCACACAACUAAACGGGACAAGUACAGUCAAAGAACCCAUUUCUUGAACUAAUGUUCCAAUUGCUAGGUGUUUUCUACAUGUGGCAGUAAUGGUUAAGCAAUAGGGUUUGAAUGGUUGCAAAUUGGCAAGGGCGCGAGGUGCGGAUUGCGGCACAUAUGGAGUUACUUGGCUCAUGAAAAUAAUUUGGAGAUAACUUGAAGAACUGAGGAUUUAGGGACAGUAGGCUUCUAGGAAAUUUGUUUGACUUUUAAUCUUUUCAUGUAGCUUUCUGUUCCCUUUUGUGACAGUUCUGUAAUUGAAUUUCCUGUAGUAUGUGAUUGAACUUGAGUUUGACUUUUGUAUUUCAAAUAAUAAAAAAUGAAUGAUUUCCCUUCUUUGUUGAAUAAAAUACUUCCAAAAUAUGGUUAUAGUCAAGUACUAAAGAAGAGGUCAAUGUGACUUGGUCAACUCAAGUGAAUAUUUUCAAUUUCACUCCUUAUCCAACAUGCAUUUCUUUUAAAGCUUCUUUCCUUGAGAAAACUGGAACCAAGACAGCUCGCAACAUAAGGAGCAAUAUUUGAUCAGGUGAACUUAUAAGAAUCCAAUAUAUGUAAGCCAACCCUUGACUUAAUAAUGCCACACAUGAUGCGGAUGAAUAAAUGAUUUUACCCUAAAAUAAAUGAAUGAUAAGAAUGUAUGCAGAUGAAUCCAAAGUCAUAAGCCAAGUAGAAAU